CAGUUUUUGACAAGAAGAAAGUGACAAUAAGCACCUCUGUUUUGUGUAGAUAUGUUUUUGGUCCAUUUGACUCUUCCCGCAGUGAACCAGAGUUCCUGUUGCUCCCUGUCAUGGUCAACGUUCCAGAUUCAUGCUUUGGACGUUGGCCAGUUUGGAAGAGAGAGAGAGAGAGAGAAUAGGCAUGCCAUGGCCUCUAUCC